CGAGGAGAUAUGGGACUUAUUGCCUCAGUUUCUACUUAACCGAGGUAAUAGCCUUUUCGGGGGUUACAUUUCCAUAAACGUAAAGAGUUUCUUCUCAAGCGAACACAACAUUGUUACGCUAAAUGGGUUUCAUUUCCCCUUCACUUUCGUUGCCUCCAACACUGGUCGCCGUCGUCUCCCCAUUCGUUGUCGUCGCUGACACCUUCUGUUUGCACCGCCACAAUUAUCCCUUCUAUUGGUGCCAUUGUUCUUCUUUAGUGGUAAGUUUUCAUACCUCCUCC
rnacentral:lncRNA from 1 species